GGCCUAUAUAGCAUACAGGUAUCACAAUAUUUGACUUUUACAGUUAUUCCAUUGACGUUCACGUCCUUGACGCGGGGCAAACGUAAUUGUGGAGUUUGACCAGGUCCACUUUGAAUACUUCCUUCAAAGUUCUCUAGCUCUGGAGGAUGAGGAUUGCGAGGAAUAAUACCAGGAUCUCUUGCAGAUGUCAGUAGAAGCAGGACUAAAACAUAUACUGUAAAAACAACAGCUACGACCAUGAUAGACCACCCCCAAUGACCAGCAAAGUCAUCUACAAGUUUCCUUGCAACAAAUACACAAAACACAGCAACUGGGGCAACUAUAAGGAAGAUAGUCAUAAAGAGUGAUCUCACAUCAGGCCCAAAUAUGAACCUUCCUUGAAGACAAAAUUUAUUACUGCCUUUCCAGGUCUGGUACAUCCGUAGAAACGACGUAUUUUCAACUGCGCCACCAUCGGAACCCGUACUCCUCGGCGGAGCGACUCCAUUCAUGUCUUUU
rnacentral:misc_RNA from 1 species